rnacentral:lncRNA from 11 species
UAAAAAUCAUUUCAGUUGCUUCUUCUUCAUUCCAUGGAUAAAACUCAACUUUGUCUCUGGAUUGUCGUAAAUUUCUUCUGGGAGGCAGAGACUGAUAUCUCAGCAGCAUUAAGCCUCUUGACUGAUAGUGAGAAGAAAACAGUUCAGGACCUGCCUAUCUCCGUGAUCGCCUCCUCUCCUACGAACCAACGCGAACCCUAAGAUCAUCCGGGGAGGCGCUCCU